rnacentral:rRNA from 1 species
UACGGAGGGUGCAAGCGUUAUCCGGAUUCACUGGGUUUAAAGGGUGCGUAGGUGGGCAGGUAAGUCAGUGGUGAAAUCUCCGGGCUUAACUCGGAAACUGCCAUUGAUACUAUCUGUCUUGAAUACCGUGGAGGUCAGCGGAAUAUGUCAUGUAGCGGUGAAAUGCUUAGAUAUGACAUAGAACACCAAUUGCGAAGGCAGCUGGCUACGCAUAUAUUGACACUGAGGCACGAAAGCGUGGGGAUCAAACAGG